GGGAGGAGACACUGCUGGGGACGGGAAGGGUGAUCCCGGCGCUGCGGGGCCAGGCUCUCCCCCCGCUCUCCCCGUCCGUCUCUGGGGUGAUUUUCUCCGUGUUCCCCUGCACCCCCGCAGCCUGCAGGUGAUCCGCCAGUUCCUGCACGAUGGUGACUGCGGCGGUCUGGAGUCCUUUGGCCAGGGGGAGCGGCUCCUGCAGGACCCGGCGUGUCGGGACGAGCUGGAGGAUCGGCUGCGCUUCUUCGUCGAGGAGUGCGACCACCUGCAGGGGUUCCAGGUGCUCUGUGACCUCCAGAGUGGUUUCUCCGGGGUGGGCUCCAAAGUGACGGAGCUGCUGCGUGACGAAUACGGGACCAAAGGGAUCCUGAGCUGGGGACUGAGCC